CGGGCGGCCGGCGGCCGCCGCGCUCGCCUGACCUGCGUGCCCCGCUGGCCGCGCCGGGCUGCCCCGAAGGAUGUCCGCCCAGUCCAAGGGGACCGCAUCCUCCUCCUCGUCGCCGUCCGAGGGGCCGCCGGCAGCCUCCAAAACCAAGGUGAAGGAGCAGAUCAAGAUCAUCGUGGAGGAUUUGGAAUUAGUCCUGGGGGACCUGAAAGAUGUCGCCAAGGAACUUAAGGAGGUGGUUGACCAGAUUGACACACUGACAUGUGAUCUGCAGCUGGAGGAUGAGAUGACAGACAGUUCCAAAACAGACACCCUGAACAGCAGCUCCAGCAGCACAACAGCCUCCAGCCUGGAGAAGGUGAAGGUGCGAGGCAGCGCGCCCCUCAUCAAGCCACCCGCGCACCCCUCUGCCAUCCUCACCGUGCUGCGGAAGCCCAACCCGCCGCCUCCUCCCCCUCGGCUGACGCCCGUCAGGUGUGAUGAGCCCCCCAGGCUGCCUCCCUUGGCCAACCCCCUCAAGACCAAUGGCACCCUGCUGCGGAACGGGGGCCUGCCCACGGGGCCGGGCCGGAUCCCAAAUGGAGAUGUGUGCUGUGUGCCGAACAGUGGCCUGGAGAAGGUGGUGAUGCCACCGCUGACACACAGGGCGGAGAAGGAGCGGUGUGCCCAGGCGGGAGCCAGGGAGCGCGUGCGGUUCAAUGAGAAGGUGCAGUACCACGGAUACUGCCCCGACUGUGACGUUCGCUACAACAUCAAAAACAGGGAGGUGCACUUGCACAGCGAGCCGGCCCGGGCUGCAGGAAAGCUGCCGCACCAGUGCCCUCCUCUGCCGCCUCCUCCACCUCCACUGCCUCCAUUUCUUCUGGAAAAUGGUGGGCUGGGGAUAAGUCCCAGUAAUAGCUUUCCUCCUCCAAGACCUGCAACUGUGCCUCCACAAACUGCGCCAAAACCCCAGAAGACCAUCUUGAGGAAAUCAACCACUACAACAGUGUGAAGUCCUACACCAGGAGCUGACUUCUCACAAGCUACAGAGGAGGUGAAGUGUUCUGACUCUUUAACUUCUCUCCCCCCAGUCCUUUGAGUAAAGCCACAUUCUCUUGUGGAGUGGAGUUACCUGACACUUAUUGCAGCAACAAAGGCAGCUGAGCCAACCAUUCUCUCCUGGACACCUUCAGGCUUGAAGGAAUAUCUAUAUUUGGAGGCACGUCUAUUAAUUUGCAUAUCAGAUUCAUCAUUUUGACUUCUUGCAGGCCAGAUCUGAGAAGUAACCAGGAAACCUGACCCUUAGUGGAGAAUGGAAGAACCCUUGAAGUCAGAGCACAACUGAGCACUAGUGUAAUCUGCAUUGAAUCAUCUUUCUCAGAUCUGACAGCUCCAAGCUGAGUCCCGGCAAAAGCCACAGCCUUAAAUUCCAUUCAGUGGGAAAGAAGGAUGAGAGAACUCAGUGUGCCCCAUUGCAGAAACUGCUGUCUCCAAGCCUGACACCUGAGUUCUGUGCUGACCAACCAGAGUACCAAACAAGGAGUUUUUUAUGGGUACAGCCAGCAUCAACAAAUAUUUCAAUAUGUAGCCAAAAGGAAAAAGGAAGCACUUAGUAAUUUCAGAAAAUGGAUACAUUUAUUGUAACAGAGAAAUGUUACUGUCUGUGGGGAAGAAGACCUCUGUCGUCCCUUGUAUAUAUUCAAAGCCAUACAGGAACAGGGCAUAAGUGAAGUUAAGUCACUUAAAAGGAUGCUGACUCCUGUCCUCCACCCAGCUUUGAGGAAGUUCCGCUCUUAGAGAUUGCAUCUCGAUGCACUUCUAUUAUUUGCACUGUCUUUUCCAUUCAGGGUAAUGAUGUGUGCUACCAUUUGCACAGAUGGCCCCAGGAGAUUUUUGACCACAACAAGCUAUACUUUGCCAGGGCUCCAAAUGGAAUUAAAAAGUUAGAACUGACGAAAGACAUUUAUGCUCUCUUUCACUAUGGGGAUCUCUUCACAGAAAGGAUUACAGUCCUUUCUUAGGAUGAAAUAAAUACAUGCAUAUACAUACAUAUAUACAUAUGUAUAUAUAUGAAAAAGCAGCAACAUGAUAAGGUGUAUUUAAAAAGGGGAUAUAAUCUUUUUUAAUAGCAUCCUUUUUUUUUAUCAUAUUAGCAGCUGAGAAAUUUAAUCUAUUGAAUUAUACAUCAAAAAAAGUUCCUGUUGAACAUUGACAUUUAGUCCCAGUUACUGCUAAAGAAGUCAUUUGUAAUAUGUACUUGACAUAAAAUUUUUCUAGCCAUUUGUCUCUACUUCAUGGAGAAAUAUAACAGACAAGCAACAUUUUCAGUUUAUUUUUCUAAAUAAAUGUGUUGUUUGUAUUAUUUGCAGUCACUCAUUUUGGCUGGUUUUCAUUAUCUCCAAAAGUGAUUUAAAGACAGAACCAAAACACAGGGAUUGUUUGUUCUUGUUAAACUGUAAUGAUUUGCUGAAUGAAAGCUUUAAUAUAAAUACUGUAAUUUGUAAAAUGAUGAAGUAUAUUUAUAUAGGCAAAUAUGUAUGGAAAACAAAAGGAGGUAUUUUAACUCUUAAUUUCAGAACAUAGUUUAUUUUAAUAUCCACAGGAAGAAAUUAAAUAUAUAAUGGGAUAGGGUUUUUAUUAUCAAUGAAUUUUACUAAGUGAAAAUUUGGAUGUUUAAGAAUGAAAUGAAUGUAGUCAAAUAAUGUUGGUUUCCCAAAUUAUACAAAGACCUUUUGCCAGCUGUCUCAUUUUACUCAAAAACUGAUUUAAUCAUCUGGGGGGUUGGGUUUUACUGGGGGGUGUGUGUGCUAAGGUUUUUGUUUGGUAUUUUGUUUGUUUUGGCAUACUGACAGGACCAUGAAUUUGAUACUAUUUGCUCAUAAUUUGAAAAGCUACAGAAUAAAAGAUUGUUUCUUAGAACAAUCUACAGUUUGCAGUUAAGAACAGUCAUUGUUAUCAAACUAAUGCAGUGUUUUGUUGUAGAGUUAUUAAACAUUUCAAUGCUAGAGCUGUUUUGAAUAUUUUUUUUCCUUUUUUUCCUUAGUGCAUUACCCUAUGUGUAAUUCAAAGAGAAAAGUAAUGCAUUUGGUUCCCAGUUCACUUAAAUAAUUUGUCUUAAGUCCAGUUAUAUGUAUGUGAUUUUUAAAGCUGAAUAGCUUUUUUUUCAGUUGAUUGCUUUAUGGAAGCAUUUAAGUGCUCACUAACAGAAAAAAUACCUUUCGACAACAGAAAUAAUUUUCAAAAAAGCUGUGGGUUAACUUUGUGAAGGGCAGAUGUCUUAAAAAUGUGUUGCUCUGCUCUAAUGUGCUAACAAGUGUUAUGCGUGUAUGUUUGUGUGUGUGUGUGUGCACGCAUGGCACCCUUACCUGCUCAUGAAUGAAAUGCCAGCUCUGCUGAAGUAAGUGCCACAAGUCCUGUUACUGCAAAAGAUGCUCAUGUUACUGUAUUUUUUGGUGAAAGACCUGGCCUCUGUCUUUGCUUGUGACUCUGAAGCCAUAAACAGCUUUUGAAGUUUGUCAGGAAAUCAGAAAAUUAAGUAAGUUUAUGUUAGGCUCCCUCAUUUGGCAAAAAUUGGGAUGAUCUUAUGAUUUGACUCUUUUUAUGAAAGUUAGUGGUCAAUUUCCUUUGGUGCAAUGGAUAAAUGCAACCUUUGUAUUUGUUAAAGAAUGAUGUCUGUGUUUUGUUCACACACAAUUCAGCUUUUGGCUUAUAGUGUUCUUACUGUGAUGUCAUUCCUGUGUCAUUAGAAUACGUUAUUUGACACAUAACUGGCAUGGGCUUGGUUUUCCUCCUUUUUUGGAUAAUCAGUAUUUUAAAAUUGGAGAACUUCUUCUUUGAGACAAGUAUUCAGUUGUUUAAGAAGGGGACAACAUUAUUGAAACAAUAAGAAAAUUUCAGAAUAAUACUUCAAACACUUCCAUCAUUGCCUAAUAAUAACACAUGAAAAAGCUCUUAUUUUUGUGAACAAAAUGCAUUCAUCUGUAUUUGAAAUGGCCCAAUAAAAAUCCAGUGGAAUAAUUUGUUACUACUUGCAAAUACUUUUCUGCUAUGCUGAGUUCUAGAUCAGCUUGUGUGUAAAAUUUUUAUUGCACAAAACCCACCUAAAACAAUGCUCAGUUUUCUUCAGAAAAAUACAUGAGAUAUGAAAAAUAAUUACUUCGUCCCAGGAGUGGUUUUAUAUAAUUUGUGCAAUGCAAAAAUGAUGAACAGAUACCAACAUGUAGGCCUAAUUUAAGUGACAAAUGUAAUUGGAAGAUAGCACUGCAAACCACAGGUCUCAUUAAUCACAUGCUGUUAUUUGCACCUCUGCUUAACUGGGACUUCAUGCUGGAAAGUACAUUUCAGUGUGCGUGCACACUCAUACAGUGUUAUAUAUCAUGUCUUAUUUUACUAGCAGUGUCACUGGGAGAAAUUCAGAUAGCUUGAUUUUCAUAGAUUUAAAUUAAAUCCUUAGAUAAGUGUUCAAUAUUGGAUAUAAAUUGAGAUUAUGUCUGUAUAUUGUGCAGAUACUCCCAUGAGAUAGCAUUUCAACACAAUUUCAGAAAUUGCUGGCAAAUAAUUAUCACUGAAAUUUUGUAGUUUAAAACCAGAGGAUAAAAUUAUAUUAUCUUAUUGAACAGCAAAAAAAUUGUGGUAUUUCUGUUAUGUUCAUUCAAGCAUACUGACAAGACCAGCAGAACUUUUUCAACUAAGAUGACUUUUCAGCAAUUAAUGGGUCCUUUUGUUGGUUUAUGUGUCAUGCAUAUAAGAAACACCUACAGAAAUAGUUCUGGAGUAAUAGUGCAUUGUUUCGUUAGCUGGCAUUUGAAAAGUCACCUGGAGCAGCCAAUAGGCUUGAAAGGAUGAGGUGUGCAAAACAAAAUGCUGACAGUUCUAGACUCAUCUACAAGACAGAAUUUCAGCCCUUGAAAUUUUUAAGAGACAAGGAUCACCAUCAUUCAUGAGAAAAAUUGGGAUAUGUUAAAAUAGCUCUUUUGUGGAGUGGAAGACAAAGAUUAUGAAAACCUGGUGAUCACCAGGGUGAUAUAAAA